UCGAGAAUUUUUCUCAAUGGGCGCAAGCCUGAAGGAGCGACGCCGCGUGGAGGAUGAAGGUUUUCGGAUUGUAAACUCCUGUCAUUGGUGAACAAGACCGCCGGUUAACUGCCGGUUGGUUUGCUAGUAGCCGAAGAGGAAGGGACGGCUAACUCUGUGCCAGCAGCCGCGGUAAUACAGAGGUCCCGAGCGUUGUUCGGAUUCAUUGGGCGUAAAGGGUGCGUAGGCGGCGGGGCCAGUCUGAUGUGAAAUCCCCGGGCUCAACCCGGGAACUGCAUUGGAUACUGCCUUGCUAGAGUACUGGAGAGGGAACUGGAAUUUACGGUGUAGCAGUGAAAUGCGUAGAGAUCGUAAGGAAGGCCAGUGGCGAAGGCGAGUUCCUGGACAGUGACUGACGCUGAGGCACGAAGGCCAGGGGAGCAAACGG
rnacentral:rRNA from 1 species